rnacentral:misc_RNA from 1 species
GAUGAAGAACGUAGCGAAAUGCGAUACGUAAUGUGAAUUGCAGAAUUCAGUGAAUCAUCGAGUCUUUGAACGCCCAUUGCGGCCCCUGGUAUUCCGGGGGGCAUGCCUGUCCGAGCGUCAUUGCUGCCCUCAAGCACGGCUUGUGUGUUGGGCCUCCGUCCUCCUCCCGGGGGACGGGCCCGAAAGGCAGCGGCGGCACCGCGUCCGGUCCUCGAGCGUAUGGGGCUUCGUCACCCGCUCUUGUAGGCCCGGCCGGCGCUUGCCGACACAUCAAUCUUUUUUCCAGGUUGACCUCGGAUCAGGUAGGGAUACCCGCUGAACUUAAGCAUAUCAAUAAGCGGAGGA